rnacentral:tRNA from 1 species
GGCGGAUGUAGCCAAGUGGAUUAAGGCGGG